rnacentral:rRNA from 1 species
AAUAUCAAAGGUGAGCCAGUACAGGAUGGACCCGCGUCUGAUUAGCUAGUUGGUAAGGUAACGGCUUACCAAGGCGACGAUCAGUAGCCGACCUGAGAGGGUGAUCGGCCACAUUGGAACUGAGACACGGUCCAAACUCCUACGGGAGGCAGCAGUGGGGAAUAUUGCACAAUGGGCGAAAGCCUGAUGCAGCAACGCCGCGUGAGUGAUGAAGGCCUUCGGGUCGUAAAACUCUGUCCUCAAGGAAGAUAAUGACGGUACUUGAGGAGGAAGCCCCGGCUAACUACGUGCCAGCAGCCGCGGUAAUACGGAGGGGGCUAGCGUUAUCCGGAUUUACUGGGCGUAAAGGGUGCGUAGGCGGUCUUUCAAGUCAGGAGUGAAAGGCUACGGCUCAACCGUAGUAAGCUCUUGAAACUGGGAGACUUGAGUGCAGGAGAGGAGAGUGGAAUUCCUAGUGUAGCGGUGAAAUGCGUAGAUAUUAGGAGGAACACCAGUUGCGAAGGCGGCUCUCUGGACUGUAACUGACGCUGAGGC